rnacentral:rRNA from 1 species
CACGGAGGGCGCAAGCGUUGUCCGGAAUUAUUGGGCGUAAGGAGCUCGUAGGCGGCCUGUCGCGUCUGCUGUGAAAUCCCGGGGCUCAACCCCGGGCCUGCAGUGGAUACGGGCUGGCUGGAGGCAGGCAGGGGAGAACGGAAUUCCUGGUGUAGCGGUGAAAUGCGCAGAUAUCAGGAGGAACACCGGUGGCGAAGGCGGUUCUCUGGGCCUGUUCUGACGCUGAGGAGCGAAAGCGUGGGGAGCGAACAGG